rnacentral:rRNA from 1 species
GCCCUUGACUCUGGGAUAAGCGUUGGAAACGACGUCUAAUACCGGAUACGAGCUUCCACCGCAUGGUGAGUUGCUGGAAAGAAUUUUGGUCAAGGAUGGACUCGCGGCCUAUCAGCUUGUUGGUGAGGUAACGGCUCACCAAGGCGACGACGGGUAGCCGGCCUGAGAGGGUGACCGGCCACACUGGGACUGAGACACGGCCCAGACUCCUACGGGAGGCAGCAGUGGGGAAUAUUGCACAAUGGGCGAAAGCCUGAUGCAGCAACGCCGCGUGAGGGACGACGGCCUUCGGGUUGUAAACCUCUUUUAGCAGGGAAGAAGCGAAAGUGACGGUACCUGCAGAAAAAGCACCGGCUAACUACGUGCCAGCAGCCGCGGUAAUACGUAGGGUGCAAGCGUUGUCCGGAAUUAUUGGGCGUAAAGAGCUCGUAGGCGGUUUGUCGCGUCUGCUGUGAAAUCCCGAGGCUCAACCUCGGGUCUGCAGUGGGUACGGGCAGACUAGAGUGC